rnacentral:lncRNA from 1 species
AUUUAACAAGGGCAGAGCAGGGAUACUAGCUGUGAGACACUUCUGCUCCGGGAAAGGUAGGAGCAUUUGUACAAUCUUUCCAGUAUAGGGGAAGGGGGACAUGGGAGUAGAAGUUGGAUUGUUGAGUCACGAAGCAAAUAGGUGUCUUUUUAUUCUAAUUAACUUGAGAAAGAAAGAAUUUGGUAUUAUAUCAACCCAGCACUUAAACUUUUUACCUUCAUUGUAUAAAAACUGUUUGUGAAAAUUGUGCCACUAUGACUUACUUUUUGAUACGGAUAAUGGAGCAUUCUCUAAAGGGAGCAGAUGGAAUGAUGAGGAGGUUCAGAGUAGUGUCAAUCAUCAGGAAAGAGGGUGGCCCUGUUGGCCUGGGGGUGAGGGGAGAGGCUCUGACAAAGGUGCUCAGUCCCCAGCCAGGCUGCAUGUGGUUCUUGUCUACCUGGGUCCACCUGAAAAGACACUACCAGAUUGAUUUGGGGUGUAUCCUGGGCAGUGAGACUUUUGAAAGUGCAUUGGUUGAUUCUAAUGCACAAUCCAGUUGAGAACCACUGUUGAGGGAGCAGGGUGCCUGAAUCAUGAAAUAAAAAGAGGCUUUUUAUGGGAAAGGCUCUCUAUCUCUCUUCUUUAACACCAGGAAAGGAGCUGUAUUAGUGAUAGGAAGUGAUGGGGAAGCCAAUGGGGGCUCAAAAGAAAGAAAGCUUUGAUGCUUGGUACUGAAAUGGAAGUGGCGUGGUAAGUGGAGGAGCCCCUGAUGCUGGAAAUGAUCAAGGAGAAGGUGGACAACCAUUGACUGGGAAGGCUGAACUAGCCCAGUGAUGGCUAGAUAGUGUCAGGAGGACCAGAAGCAACCUCAAGUCCCUUCCCCUUCACUCAGGGCAGCUCAGUUUUCUCUCUUUUUCUGUAUUGGUUUGGGUUUCCCCAUAAAGAUUUCCUUUGAAGAAAGAGUCUGCUCAAAAAAACUUUUAAAACCACAUAACUAGUUGACCUUUAUGGCUAUUACCAAUCUGAAGUUCUGUAGCAUUAAAUCUUCUUUGAUGUUUUCUAAGAAACCAGGCUACUGAUUGAUCCAUUCUUCCAAAGGCCAAGGGGGAAAGGAAGGAGAGCUUACAAGGGUGGAAAGCAUGAGUAGAAGAGGGGAGACUUCUCUUAGCUGAGGGCCAGGGCAGGAGCCCUUAACCCUGUCUAGGCUUGGAACCACCUGGGAACUUUUCAGUAAGACACCCUCCCAAAGCAGUGAUAUCAGUCUCUGGGGAUGGUGCCUGGGCGUGGGUAUUCAUGAAAUGCAGCAGAGUUGAGAACCACUGGCUUAAUAGAUGGGCACUGAGGAGAACUCUUUUUAUACAUUGAGGCCAAACAUGUUAGACAACCACGAACACGGCAGUUCUUAAACUUCAGCUGCAUCAGAAUCACCUAGGCUUGUUCAGACAGAUCACUGGGCUCCACCCCCAGAGUUUCUGAUUUAGUAGGCCUGUGAUAAAGCCAAGAAUUUGCAUUUUUAACAAGUUCCAGGUGAUGCUGACACUGCUGAUCUGGGGGACCACACUUUGAGAACCACUGCUUUAACAAUAGGAAUUUACUUUUGACCUUAAAAACAACUCCCUAACAUUGGCAAGCGAUUGAUAGUGUGCACCCUUGAUGAUAUGAUAUAAUGAGAAUGGCACUUUGCCUCUGUGGUCUCCCUCCCAUUAAAUGCAUUAACUCAGUCUAAUCAUGAGUAAAACAUCAGACAAAACCCAAUGGAAGGACAUUCUACAACAUACCUGACCAGUAAUCCUCAAAACUAUCAAGGUCAGCAAAGCCAAGGAAAGUCUAAGAAACUGCCACAGCUAAGAGGAGCCUAAGGAGACAUGACUACUAAAUACAAUGUGGUAUCCUGCAUGGAAUCCUGGAAUAGAAAAAGCACAUUAGGGGCAGGGCACGGUGACUCACACCUGUAAUCCCAGCACUUUAGGAGGCUGAGGCAAGCAGAUCACUUGAGGUAAGGAGUUUGAAACCAGCCUGGCCAAGAUGGUGAAACCCCAUCUCUGCUAAAAAUACGAAAAUUAGCUGGGUGUAUUGGCGGGCGCCUGUGAUCCCAGCUACUUGGGAGGCUGAGGCAGAAGAAUCACUUAAACCCAGGAGGUGGAGGCUGCAGUGAGCCGAGAUCGUGCCACUGCACUCCAGCCUGGGCAACAGAGUGAGACUCCAUCUCAAAAAAGAAAAAGGAAAAAAGACAUUAGGGAAAAGCUGAGGAAAUAAUGUAUCAAUACUGAUUCAUUGGUCAUGACAAAGGUACCAUAUUAAUGUAAUAUGUUAACAAUAGGGGAAACUCAGUAUUAGGUAGGGAGCGCUCUGUACCAUUACUGCACUAAUUACAUUACUGCACUAAUUACAUUAAUUCUGUAAUUUUAAAACCAUUCUAAGAUAAGCAGUUUAUUUGAAAAAAAAAAAAAAAAAAAAAAAAAAAAAAGAACUUCCUGACUGCUGAAAUACAGACCGUUCCUGAUUGUGGUUAUGGAGGAGGUGUCUUCAAAAGCAUCAAGGAAAAAAUAUCAAAUAAUUGUAUUUGUUUGACUGAAGACUUAUCUGGAUACAGGAGUUCCCCUCAGCCUUUUGAGUGUUGGUCGCUGAUCGUGGUUAUGGAGGAGGUGUCUUCAAAAGCAUCAAGGAAAAAAUAUCAAAUAUUUUGAUAUUUGAUAUCAAAUAUCAAAAUUUGCCAUGGUGCCCAGCAUGGUUCAAGAUCAUAAGUGUCAAGCACAUCAGGGCAAGAAUCUUCUGUUCCAUAUGCAACAUCUUCUGGCAGCCUUGUCCUUUUUCUGUCCUUGACGACUACAAUAACAAACAGCUGUUGCCGAGGCAUUGCUGUUGACGUGUUACCUUUGAAACCUCCCUCCUGUUAUGGAAUAAGCCUCUUCCAGAUCAUGGCUCAUUAUCAUCUAGUCUGACAAGCAGCCUUGUUGCCACGGAGACCCAAAGGGAUCAGGCGUGGCAUUUGCCUGCAUCAUCACCCCCUCCAGGGGAACUAUAAGGACUCUUCUGUGCGUCAUGCGUGGCUGUCCUGGGACUGGCUGCCACCAGACUUUUCCUGCGGGUAAAACCUAAACAAAUGAUCAGCUGCAGAUAAUAUCAAGACCUCUGUUUGAUAUGUUAAUAGUGACAGCCAGAUUUCCACAAUUAACAACGAGGUGGGAAGAAAACACUGUAGUCACCAGACUUGGGAGGAGAGGGUUUGUAUUCACAUAAACACAACCUCACGUCACUGCUUGCCACCACAAAGGGCUCUGUUCACUGUUUUGUUCUCAAAGAUCAUCCUUGCGCUCAUCCUCUGAUCUUGAAUUUCUACAUAACUUUCUCAGUUUAUAUGCCCUGUGGCAAGUGCAGCAAGCACUGUUUCCUGUUUCUAAACUUGUAGAAAAUCAUCCAUACAUCUUACAGUUGUCAGUUUUAACCAGAUAACAGUGGCACUUUGUUGCUGCUUUUUUAUCUUUAGCUUAGGUUAACAGGACCCUGGAAGUAAAGUUGUUGAUUUAUUCAAUAGAGUAUUCUCAAUUAAUUUGGCUAGAUUUCUACAUGAUUCAAAAUCUAAAAAAGUAGAAAUGCAUGCUUACAUGUCUAAGGCCUGAAAAAUUGGUAGUGACAUCCCAAAAUAAAUGAAGGUUUUAAAACAAUAAAUGAUCUCUUUUUUUUUUUUUGCUUCUGUGCUUGGGGAGAAGCAAUGAAGGAAACAACAAUGUUGCUUUAAGGAGUGAGGACCCCAAAAAUAAGAAUAUAUAAUUAUGACAGAUAGGGCAUAGGGCGUUGUUCAGAAUUGAUGGGGCUGGUGCACACACAAACAUUUUAAUAGUUCUAAUACUUUGUGUACACUCUUGCGAUGAAGUGAUGACUUCAUUAAUUGAUUGAAUAAUAUUUAUGCAAUGCUACUAUGUGCUAGCUAUAGAACUAAGCUUAGUCUCUUAAGAUCUUAACAUUCUGAAACUAUUAAAAUGUAUAAUCACCAUUUGUAAAAGUAAAUAUACUAAUCUAAUAAUUUGGAAUGUACAUUACAGUAAAAAAAAAGCAGGGGAACAUCCUGUAAAAUGUCACUCAGAGAUAACCACCACUUACAGAGUGAAGUAUAUUCCUGCUUUUUGCGGAUAGUGUGUGCGUAUAUAUGUUUAAGCAAAGCUAACAAUAUACUAUUUUUAUAAUUGGCAUUUACUUUUUCUUUUGCUUAACUUUAUAUCAUAACCUCUUUCCCACAUCAUUACAAACUCUUCAUAAAUAAUCUUACAAAUGGUUAUGUAAUAUUUAUCUUAUUUGUAACACAUACUAUCUUCUUUUUUUCAUCAACACACUGCAUGGAUAACAGAUUUAUUUUUUAAGUCAAAAAUCUUUCUUGGCUACACUAACCAAUGUUUUUGGUUUUUGUUUUGUUUUGUUUUGUUUUGAGACAGAGUCUCACUCUGUCUCCCAGGCUGGAGUGCAGUGGUGUGACCUCGGCUCACUGCAACCUCCGCCUCCUGGGUUGAAGCGAUUCUUCUGCCUCAGCCUCGCAAGUAGCUGGGAUUACAGGCAUGUGUCACCAUGCCUGGCUAAUUUUUGUAUUUUUAGUAGAGAUGGGGUUUCACCAUGUUGAUCAGGCUGGUCUCAAACUCCUGACCUCAAGUGAUCCACCCUCCACGGCCUCCCAGAGUGCUGGGAUUAUAGGUGUGAACCACCACGCCUGGCCACUAACCAAUGUUCCUUAGAAAAGUUAACCUCAUUUGUGUUUGGGGAUGUCACUCCCGUUCUCUUGGAGAUACAAGUGCACACACACCACAACCCUUGGAGCCUGACAGGCCCAGACCAUAGAUGUGUGUCCAACACGAUGACCUUUCCUCAUUCCCUUGUGGGUCCUCCUGAUGGGCCAGGUCUUCAUGUUUUUACUGAUGAAUUCAAGACCCAGCACUUCGGAUUCAGUGUCCCUCAACACUGCCACAUAGCCAUCCUCCCAUGUGCUUCCUGGUGGUGGGUCACUCCCUAACACCAUUAUGAGCACCUAAUAUGUGUCAAACACUGAUCUAGAACAGAAACCAAACACAAGACAAAUAAAAUUCUUUUUUUUUUUUUUUUGAGAGAGAGUCUCGCUCUGUCACCCAGGCUGGAGUGCAGUGGUGCAAUCUUGGCUCACUACUACAACCUCCGCCUGCCAGGCUCAAGAAAUCCUCUCACAUCAGCCUCCCAAGUAGCUGGGACCACAGAUGUGCACCACCAUGUCCAACUAAAUUUUUGUACUUUUGGUAGAGAUGGGAUUUCACCACAUUGGCCAGGCUGGUCUCGAACUCCUGGCCUAGGGUGAUCCUCGGCCUCCCAAAGUGCUGGGAUUACAGGUGUGAGCCACCACACCCAUCUGCAAGGCAGAUAUAAUUCUUACCCUUGCAGAACUUACAGUCUUGGAGGAGAUAAGCAUUUAAUCAAGUAAUUAUGACAUUUGCUACAAGAGUUCAUAGCAGAGGGGACUUAACCAGCGUAGGUGACAUUUAAACUAAAAAUGUGAAAAACCUGUGAAAUUAAUCAGAAGAAGAGGAGGAAAGCAACUCCACUGUGUUUCCUGCUAGGUCUCAUCUUCCCAACAGAUGCUUGGACUCUCUUCAUCGCCACUUUGAAAUAUGAGGACACUCUUAAUUUAGGUCAAAUUUUUUUCCUCCUGGACUUGCAAUAUGUUGUUUCCUUUUUCUGGAACACAUUAUGAUACUUCCUUGAAACGGCAAGAUUCUUUUAUUCCCAUUGUUUCUGCUUCUUGAAGUAUUAAUCAGAAUAUUUCAUCUGCCAUCCCCUUCUGCUUACUUUCACAUAGUUUUCAGGAGUUAGUUUAAAUGUCACCCCCCUCUGGUUAGGUGCCUCUGCUAUGCAUUCCUGUAACAAGUGUAAUAAUUACUUAAUUCAAUGUAUAUCUCCUCCCAACCUGCAGUUCCUCCCAGUAUUGGAAGGAUAAGAAUCAUAACUGGUUUGUGUUUGGUGUCUGUUCUAGCUCAUUGUUUGACACAUAUUAGGUGCUCAAAAAAUAUUGAAAUGAAUAGUAGGCAUUUAGGGUGUUCCGUUUUUUUUUUAAUAAGCAAUGAUGAAAUGAACAUCUUUUAUGCAUGAUGUCCAUAUUUUGGAAUUUUUAAAUUACUUUCUGAUGAUAAGUUCUUGGAAGCAGAAUUACUAGGUCAAAGGAUACAAACCCUUAGAGUCCUCUUGGGAAACAGCACAUUGCUUUCCAGAAAGUUUUAUACUCCUGCAAGCAGUUUAUGAGAUUUCCUGUUUCAUUGUGCUCUUAUCAACAUGAUUAGGCAAAGAAAUUAUUUUUGCUAACUUGAUAGUAAGAAAAAUUACUCUACUACUGUUUCAAUUUUGCCUUUGUUAAGUAACAAGAUGAACAUUUUCCAUCUGUUUUUUAUUUAUUUAUAUUUGCUGUAUUGUGAGUUGUCUUGUGUCCUUUGUCCAUUUCUAUUCUGAAAUCUUCAUGUUUUUCGAAUCAAUUUUUAUAAGCUCUAUGUUUCAGAAGAUAUUAGAUGAUUAUCUCUUAUUUUUUACUGUAGAUCUUUCUAUGUAGAUGUUUGUAUUUUAGUCUGUGCCCUUCUUAAUGUUCAGAAGUUUACCAUUUUUCUGUGGUCAGGUCUGUUAUCAUUUCCCAUGGGAUUUCUUACAUGACAAACUCACAGUGCUCUUCAACAGCAGUGAUUAAAUAAAUAUUCAGCUAUUUUUGGCAUGUA